rnacentral:misc_RNA from 1 species
AAGUCGUAACAAGGUCUCCGUAGGUGAACCUGCGGAGGGAUCAUUAACACUAAAAAAAUCAUUUCUUUAUUGAUUUGAUUUUUUUUCAAACUAACAAACACCGUUGAACAAGGUUAUUUCGGAUAACCAAAGUGAGCAGGAUAGGGUGAAACACUUUAUAUUUCAUUAUGUGAAGUGUAGUAAUCUUACUCUUCUCCCCCUUUUUCAAAACUUUUCAUUUUGAAUCAAAUUCAUUUUUGAUUUGAAGUGUUUAGUUUAAUAUAUUCACCCCUUUUUGUAAUAAAUUUGACUAAUACUCUUUUGAAAUUGAGAUGAUGAUGAAAAUCAUUAUUUCUUUUUCUUAUCAAGAUUAUUCUAUAAUCUAAGCACAACUCUUAGCAACGGAUAUCUUGGUUCUC